UACGUAGGGUGCAAGCGUUGUCCGGAAUUAUUGGGCGUAAAGAGCUCGUAGGCGGUCUGUCGCGUCGGAUGUGAAAACUCGGGGCUCAACCCCGGGCCUGCAUUCGAUACGGGCAGACUAGAGUACGGCAGGGGAGACUGGAAUUCCUGGUGUAGCGGUGAAAUGCGCAGAUAUCAGGAGGAACACCGAUGGCGAAGGCAGGUCUCUGGGCCACUACUGACGCUGAGGAGCGAAAGCGUGGGGAGCGAACAGG
rnacentral:rRNA from 1 species